rnacentral:rRNA from 1 species
UACAGAGGGUGCAAGCGUUAAUCGGAAUUACUGGCGUAAAGCGUGCGCAGGCGGUUUUGUAAGUCUGUCGUGAAAUCCCCGGGCUCAACCUGGGAAUUGCGAUGGAGACUGCAAGGCUAGAAUCUGGCAGAGGGGGGUAGAAUUCCACGUGUAGCAGUGAAAUGCGUAGAGAUGUGGAGGAACACCGAUGGCGAAGGCAGCCCCCUGGGUCAAGAUUGACGCUCAUGCACGAAAGCGUGGGGAGCAAACAGG